ensembl:lncRNA
AUUUAAUGGUUGGAAGUGGAAGUAUCUCUAUGGAGAUUCCUGUUUGCUAGAGAUUUUUCUGUAGGACUGAUAAUCCCAAACGUUUGCCCUGAGCAGAUCAAGUGUAGAACAACUUGUCAACUUGAGACCAGAUCCAUGGGGAACUCACCAAGACAGAGAUUUGCAACCUGACUGCUUUUUGGGAUACGGUGCCCUGGAUUAUUAGCACAAACUUUAUUCUACUGUGUGACUGGCUGUAAUUGUUACCCUGAACCAGCGUGUCACUGUUCCAUGCUCCUAUUCAGCCCACAGUCCACACUCAGGAGCCAGACUCAAGAGCCAGUGUUUGCAGCUAUCAAUUACAUAUUUUGAUCUGGUCUCUAGGCUUUGGACAACAUUCCCUUUACUUCCCUCAUUUUCUUAGGAACUAGUAAGUAGUUUUCAAGCUCUGACUUUUUAUCUGAGUCAUUGUGAAAGCCCCUCAUGGGGCAGAAUUUUUUAGACAACAAAGAGGAUUUAGAGGUUUUAUCAUUUCUAGAUCUCUAUCUUGACAAAACAACCACAGACCUAUUAACCACUCUACUGUACUUUUGUACUUGUUAAGAUGUCUCUUAGCUGGAUUAUUGUGUAGCUUCCCAAAUGUAACUCCCUUCAGAUCUAAUCUCCAUAGCAAAUAAUCAUCAUAAGCAAACACACAGAGGCACAAACCAUAGCCAUAACAAAAGAGCACAGAUUUGUUUUGUUUUGUUUUGUUUUUUUUUCCCCAAUGUUCUCCGCAGUAGCUUUAAAAUCUUUCUUUAUUGUCAUUUUGUUUAAUCAGCAUUGAUCAGAGACCCUGGUGGCAAGCCAGAACAAAGAGGAUUGAUCUAAGGUUCACAUGUGGAGAGAUUUAGAAAUGAGUAAAGCAUAUUGUAUUAGGGAGAUUUUUACUAAAUCCUAUUCCCAAGUUUUAUUCAGGGUUUUGUAUGUUACUGUAAAUAACCUCAUUAAAUGCAUUUUGAAAAGGGAAAAUUUAGUUUUAAUCUUGCUGUAUUAAUUUGAGAACAUAGUGUACUCCAGACAGAAGUAUGCUCCUGUCCCGUUACUCAUAGCUACUUAGAGAUAUUUGUAUUUUUUCAUAAGUAUGCUUAGCUCUGAUUAGAAGUAAAAUCAAAAGAACAAGGAAAUGGGUUUAGCUGUUUGCUUGUCAAACCCUGAACCUCAUACACCUGAAUACCAGGCUGGACUGACAACAGUAGAAAGAUUCUUGGAGCAGAGGUGU